AAAAUUCAUACAUCUCAUUGAGUUGUUUCAUCCUUACAGUAGCAGCUUCACCCCAGUCAAGGUUUAACUUUUUCAACACCCACAUGACUUUGUGUCUAGCUCCAUUGGCAAGUGACAUGAUUUACCAAAACCAACUGGUAUGAUGAGGUACCAAUAGGUGUUUUGAAUGCAGUCUGACAAGCCCACAAAGUAUCAUCUAGCUUUCUGAACCAAUC
rnacentral:lncRNA from 1 species